rnacentral:rRNA from 1 species
GACGAACGCUGGCGGCGUGCCUAAUACAUGCAAGUAGAACGCUGAAGAGAGGAGCUUGCUCUUCUUGGAUGAGUUGCGAACGGGUGAGUAACGCGUAGGUAACCUGCCUGGUAGCGGGGGAUAACUAUUGGAAACGAUAGCUAAUACCGCAUAAAAUGGAUUAUCGCAUGAUAAUCCAUUGAAAGGUGCAAAUGCAUCACUACCAGAUGGACCUGCGUUGUAUUAGCUAGUUGGUGGGGUAACGGCUCACCAAGGCGACGAUACAUAGCCGACCUGAGAGGGUGAUCGGCCACACUGGGACUGAGACACGGCCCAGACUCCUACGGGAGGCAGCAGUAGGGAAUCUUCGGCAAUGGACGGAAGUCUGACCGAGCAACGCCGCGUGAGUGAAGAAGGUUUUCGAUCGUAAAGCUCUGUUGUAAGAGAAGAACGAGUGUGAGAGUGGAAAGUUCACACUGUGACGGUAUCUUACCAGAAAGGGACGGCUAACUACGUG